rnacentral:lncRNA from 1 species
UUUAUUCUCCCGUUCAGAUGAGUUUAAUAUUUUUAAUAAACUCCAAUCUGAAGUCUGACUUUGGCGGUAAAUAUUUCUCGAUCCUUCGGCUUCAUCGAACACUUGCAUAAUACCGAAAUUUGGGUUUUCGUCUAAUUUCAGGUUUUCUCGUCGUGCUUCGAUCCAGUCGUGCUUGCUUCCCGUCGUGCUUACUUCCCGUCGUGCUUAAUUCCCAUCAUGUUUCCAAUGUCUUCGAAAUAAUAUUCUGCUGAUACGAAGUUUUGCGGAAAACUUCGUGCUGAAGAAACGUCAUUCUUCCAAAACGUCGAGCUUCUAAACCGUCGUGCUUCCAAAAAUGUUAUGCUUCGAAAACGUCUGUCUCAUCAAUCUAAGACAUCUUCUAACUAUGGUCGAGAAACUUAUUCAACUCAUAGUUCACUCACGAUCACUUCUUCGCCCACUUCGUACUUUAAAACUUCUCGAUCAAUCCUUAUCGCCCGCGACUCGACCACCACAAAGAUACUCGACCACUCUUUUUUUUUUUUUUUUUAACGGGUUUCUACACUUCCCGUGGACUGUUCGGGUGAUUUUGGCCCAUGUGGGCUGUCUGUUCAGUACACACAGGACAUCCGUGGGUGUCCGCCAGCACACACAGGACAUCUGUGGCUGUCCGUGGCUGGCCGUCAGCACACACAUGACGUCUG